rnacentral:rRNA from 1 species
GCACAACGCGAAGAACCUUACCCACCUUUGACAUGUACGGAAUCCUUUAGAGAUAGAGGAGUGCUCGAAAGAGAGCCGUAACACAGGUGCUGCAUGGCUGUCGUCAGCUCGUGUCGUGAGAUGUUGGGUUAAGUCCCGCAACGAGCGCAACCCUUGCCAUUAGUUGCUACGAAAGGGCACUCUAAUGGGACUGCCGGUGACAAACCGGAGGAAGGUGGGGAUGACGUCAAGUCCUCAUGGCCCUUAUAGGCGGGGCUACACACGUCAUACAAUGGCUGGUACAAAGGGUUGCCAACCGCGAGGGGGAGCUAAUCCCAUAAAGCCAGUCGUAGUCCGGAUCGCAGUCUGCAACUCGGCUGCGUGAAGUCGGAAUCGCUAGUAAUCGUGGAUCAGAAUGUCACGGUGAAUACGUUCCCGGGUC